CAUGACAGCCAUAUCACCCUGCAGCCCAAGACUGGUUGCCCACUGAAGCUAAGCAGGGUUGAGCCUGGUCAGUACCUGGAUGGGAGACCUCCUGGGAAAACUAGGUUGCUGUUGGAA
rnacentral:rRNA from 1 species